rnacentral:lncRNA from 12 species
ACACCAACAAUUACUAGCAGAAGCAAGGAAGGAUUCUUCCCUGGAGCUUUAGAGGGAUCAUGGCCUUGUCAACACCUUGAUCUUGAUCUAGCCUCCAGAACUGUGAGAGAAAAAAAUUUGUUUUAAGCCACCCAGUUUGUAAGAAUUUGUUAGAGCAGCCACAGGAAACUAAUACUUCAGCUCUCACAGGAUCCUCAACUCCUACAAGAGCAAUGCAUGUGGGAUCUUUAAUAAUAUCCCCUUUGUUGCCUGGUCAGGUUCAUUUUCAGCAUCUGGAAAAUUCCUAAGUCAUUGGUUUCAUAACCUUUUGGGAAAGAUCUCUAUGCAUCUGCCAAUUCUCUGGGUAUUUCUUUUAUUCAGGAUAUAACACCAUCUGUUAAGUCAUAGUCCUGAGAUUCCUUUGAUGAACAACGGAAACCCCCAUCAGGCAGUUUUAAGACUGAAGUCAUGGAUUUCUUCUCUGAGUAGAAGAAUAAGCCAAGGAAAGAGAGACUGCAAAUGGAAGGCUUUUUGGGAUCACCAUCACCAAAUUCCAAUAAUGAGAAACUGAACACUAUAUUCUAUGUAAACUGCAAUGCAAUAUAAAGACCACUUGUGCUCCCCAGUUCCAAAAGUCCAUAAUUGGUCAUUAAGAAGACAAAGGCGGAAAAGCCAUCAGCAAAUCAUACUUGCCAGUUUCGUUGUGGAUAACUGAGUUUGUCUUAUAGAAUCAACUACUCUUCGGUGCUAGUAACAUCUGAAUCUACUGCAUUUGUUUUUGCUCUCUUGGGUUGUUUUACCCUCUCUGGUCCUAUGAGAAUCUGUUUUCUUUGUAUCAUCUUUGCUCUUUAUUUCAUGAGUCAGCAAAGACAGGAUGAGACUGUUUUGGAGUGAAGAGUGACUGUGGCCACCUAGGACCCAGACAGCAGCAUGUGGUCACGGGUCAGUGUCUUCUUCACCAUCUCCUACCUCCAUCCUGAGGUGGUGCUGGAGGAUCAGCAGCUGGUCCACUGCAGCCUAUUGCCCUAGGGGAUCUGCACCAGUUUCCCACUGCAAGGUCCGGCAUGUGGACCUCCUCCACCUGGAUCCCAGCUGCACAGCAGAUAUCUAGUGGACCUUGCUGAUGUACUUCUCCAGGUUGCGGAACUGUUCCUUC